rnacentral:rRNA from 1 species
UACGUAGGUGGCAAGCGUUGUCCGGAAUUACUGGGUGUAAAGGGAGCGCAGGCGGGAAGCCAAGUCAGCUGUGAAAACUACGGGCUUAACUUGUAGACUGCAGUUGAAACUGGUUUUCUUGAGUGAAGUAGAGGUUGGCGGAAUUCCGAGUGUAGCGGUGAAAUGCGUAGAUAUUCGGAGGAACACCGGUGGCGAAGGCGGCCAACUGGGCUUUAACUGACGCUGAGGCUCGAAGGUGUGGGGAGCAAACAGG